rnacentral:lncRNA from 1 species
AAGUCGUCUUUCAUAGGAAGUUUACGCAAAAUAUAUACGAGAAGACACCCACUAACUCCCCACUAUCCUGUCAACCAAAACACCUAGCUGAAGGAAAAUCUCAGGAACACUGGCAAACAGCAGAUUUAAAUUCCUUAGCUUCUAUGUUUCCUCAAUGAACUUCAGUUUUUUUCCUUAAAUCUUUAAAUGAAGUAAUAACGCCUCAUGUAACACCACGCUGAAUGUCCCAGAGGAAGAUGUGGCCAAAGGUGUUUGGGUGGGAAUAAGAACAGAUAAAUAAGUUGCUUGCAUUUCAAAACCAAAAAACACAAACACUUGUUAAGGACUCAACACAAACUACAGAAUAUCAUUGCGCUGCACUGUUUUCUGUGCAAGUCAUGUGUCAGGUUAAAAUACCAAUCGUUACAUUUUUCUUUGUCAAACCCUUUGCAUGCUAUGUUUUGUAUUCGAAAAGGACAUUUUAAAGCGUGAAGUGGAAGUGUAAAAGAUCACGUCGAAUUUCCCUCAUUUGGAGAAACUAAAAGCAUGCUCCUCCUAGUUCCUCCGAGAUCACAAGAGGGAGCGGGCAUCAAUCACAAGCUCAGUUUUCUCUGGGGCUCAAACCCAGGGCAGACGUUUUAACCAGCUAAGCCACACAGCCCCCACCAGGGCCGUCUCUGGGCUCUCUCCUUCCAGCUAUACCAGGAGAAGGAGAAAUGCCUUCUGGACAGAAAGAUGCUUGAUCUUCCCACAGUCCCUGCCCCCUUCAAGAACUGCUUUUAGCCAUCUGCCUGUUAUGUCAAUUCCAGUCCACCACGAGAAGAAUUCCAGGUUGAACCUUCUGUUAUGUCUUCAGAUUCUCCCUUCUUUAAAAGUCCUUCUCUGCCUACGAAGCGGCCAAAAAGAUGCAAAAGGUAGUGCCAGGGAAGGCAAAGACAUACUCAGGGACUGCUACCGAGGGAGUGUAGAUCCAGAUGUGGAGAUAAGACAGCAUGUUCAUUAAUUCACAAUACUUAGUAUGCGUCUCAGGCAGUCUUACACGCUCUUGGAAACCUCUGCAUCCAGCAUCUGGAUUUGGGAACAUGACAGCGGCUUUGUUUCAGCGAAGCUAUAGCUCUGGUCUGAAGACAAUAAACGAGAGGCAGAACACA